rnacentral:ncRNA from 1 species
UAGAAGUUUUAUUCUUGCUUUUUUGUUCAGUGUAUGCUUGUUUUAUAUGUAAGUUUGUGCGUUAGUUUGAGCAAGGAUUUAAAUAGUUUUUGCUUUAUAUUGUUGAUUAGGUCUCAUUAGUUAUUAUUGGUUGGUCAAGUAUUCUUGUAUUUAGCAAUGCAUGUAGUUUCGGUUAAAUUUUGUGCCAGCAGCCGCGGUUAUACCUUGGAAGCGUUUGAAUGUGUUCGGUAUAGGUAGUUAUAUUAUUAUUGAUUUGUUUGAUUUAAUUUUUAUUAUUGUUAGGUGGAAUUUUUAUUGUUAUUAAUUUCUUUUAUUUAUUUGGAGACUAUGAAAUUCUUUUAGUAAACUAGGAUUAGAUACCCUAUUAUUUUAGAAUGUUAAUUGUUUUAGGUACCUGAGUAGUAUUAGUUAUGUUCUUGAAACUUAAAGAAUUUGGCGGUAUCUCAUUCCGUCCAGAGGAAUCUGUCUCGUUAUCGAUAGUCCACGUUGGACCUUACUUAGUUGCUUAGGUUUGUAUACCGCCGUUUAUUGAUUAUCUUUUUAGAGUUAUUUAAUUUUCUAGUUUCUUUAUUUUGAUUUAUUUCAGGUCAAGGUGCAGCUUGUUUCUAAGUGAAUGAUGGAUUACAUUGUUAUUUGUUUAUGGAUUAUUUGGUUUAAAUAUUAAUAUGAAAUUGGAUUUGGUUGUAAUUAUUUGUAGACUGUUAUUGUGAUAAAUGGUUCUGAGAUAUGCACACAUCGCCCGUCGCUCUCGUUUAUUGUUAAUGAGAUAAGUCGUAACAAAGUGGUUGUACCGGAAGGUGUAGCUGGAUUGAU